UACGUAGGGGGCUAGCGUUGUCCGGAAUCAUUGGGCGUAAAGCGCGUGUAGGCGGUCCGGUAAGUCUGCUGUGAAAGUCGGGGGCUCAACCCUCGAAUGCCGGUGGAUACUGUCGGGCUAGAGUGCGGAAGAGGCGAGUGGAAUUCCUGGUGUAGCGGUGAAAUGCGCAGAUAUCAGGAGGAACACCUAUUGCGAAGGCAGCUCGCUGGGACGUAACUGACGCUGAGACGCGUAAGCGUGGGGAGCAAACAGG
rnacentral:rRNA from 1 species